rnacentral:rRNA from 1 species
UACGUAGGGUGCAAGCGUUUAAUCGGAAUUACUGGGCGUAAAGCGUGCGCAGGCGGUCCGUUAAGACAGAUGUGAAAUCCCCGGGCUUAACCUGGGAACUGCAUUUGUGACUGGCGGACUCGAGUAUGGCAGAGGGGGGGUAGAAUUCCACGUGUAGCAGUGAAAUGCGUAGAGAUGUGGAGGAAUACCGAUGGCGAAGGCAGCCCCCUGGGCCAAUACUGACGCUCA